GGUGAAUUCAUUUUGAGCCUACUCAGUCUAGAAAACCAUGGCAAUAGUAAUAAUAAGUAUAUUUUAAGAUCGUCCAAUGAUGGCUAUCCUCAAACUGGGAAGGGGAACCAGGAGCUGCUCACCCCAGGAGCCUGGAUACUUCAGCAUCCCAACCUGGUGGUGAAUGAUGGCGUGGAGGACACUUGGGGAGACAUCAGUCUUCAGUCAAUGUUGGAACGUUGGGUUCUGAGAUAGACACGGCUCCAGUAACACAAAUAUCUUUAUAAACUGUACGAAGAAUGAGAAGGUGCAACUUCUUUUCAAUUCAACUUUACUGGAGUUCAAAGUCUGAGGAAGCCUAUUGGACAAACAUGCAGUCACUCCAGAUGAUGCAAAUCUAGAAGUAAGAGACAUGUUUUCUUUCCUUUACCACAUCUCCCUUCUUCCUGGCUUUGUAAAGCCACAGAAACGUCAG
ensembl:lncRNA